UGAGGAAAUGCUGAAUACAAGAAGGAGAUCGCUGUGGCUCGAAGUCCCCCAGAGCUCGGGUCCAAAUGUUAUUGCUGUUGUGACAGAAGAAAUGAAUCAUUGCUCGAGGAGGUGUCACUUUUGUGAACAACAGGCGUACAAAUCAUCCGAGCAGCCUCCCUUGGUCCAGGAAACGUCUCCUUCACUGAACACACGCUCGAGGGCUUAGGUGUCCUGAGCCCAGGAACCUGCAGACCGAAGGCCCCAGUGCACCGACUUGGGAGCAGGGAACGGAGCUGCAGCAUUGCUGACCGGAAUGAACAAAGGGUCAAAUGAGAUGUGCAGUGGUCCCCAUUAGGCAUGAAGGGGUGCUCCAGGGCCCCCAGCAGACGUCUGAGACCACAGACAGCAUCUGACCUGCUCACUCACCUGCCUUUCCCAGCUCAUCCAAGAACCUGGCAGAUACUAUAGCUAUGGCUUUUGCAGCCUGAAGGACAACAGA